AUUGAACGCUGGCGGCAUGCCUUACACAUGCAAGUCGAACGAGUGGCGGACGGGUGAGUAAUGUCUGGGAACCUGCCUGAUGGCGGGGGAUAACUACUGGAAACGGUAGCUAAUACCGCAUACCAUCGGAUGUGCCCAGAUGGGAUUAGCUAGUGGGUGGGGUAAAGGCUCACCUAGGCGACGAUCCCUAGCUGGUUUGAGAGGAUGACCAGCCACACUGGGACUGAGACACGGUCCAGACUCCUACGUGAGGCAGCAGUGGGGAAUAUUGGACAAUGGGCGAAAGCCUGAUGCAGCCAUGCCGCGUGUAUGAAGAAGGCCUUCGGGUUGUAAAGUACUUUCAGCGGGGAGGCGGUACCCGCAGAAGAAGCACCGGCUAACUCCGUGCCAGCAGCCGCGGUAAUUC
rnacentral:rRNA from 1 species